rnacentral:lncRNA from 1 species
GUGCGUGGCGUGUCCGCUGGACCAGGGGACGGGGGCGCGCCGCAGGUGUAGGAGCUUUGCGCGCCUACCUGGCGGUCGUGGGUCGAGGAGGGGUCAAGAAUUGUUGUCUAGCAGCCCUCUCCCCGCUGCCCUGUCCUGGCCGAGGCAAAGGCCGCGUGCGCUCCGCGUCUGCCAGGCUUUAGGGCUGCGCGGACACUGGGUGGGUGGUGGGCCGAGGCGACCGGAAGGUCCUGGCCGCCUUUCCGGUCUCCUCAGCACCCUGGAGCGCCGCCCUCGGGUUUCGGUCUCCUGGAUCUGCGGGUCGGUCUCGGCGGGCGGAUUACUCCUCGCCCACAACCUCGAGGCCCCGGGGUCAACCGCGCCCUCCGGGCCGGCAACCCAGGGUUUAGUCAGAUUCCUCCUGACCCACCGCUUCUGGGAAAGAGGCGCCUCCCGUCAGGAGGAUGCUGAGUUCCUCAUGACUGGACCAGUGAGUGUCCACUCCCUGGUCCCUGGCGAGAGAGGCGGGACCCCCACGCCCUCCUGGCGCUCUUUGCAGAGAUGUUCCUCAGGCCCAAUCCGGGAUUUGGGAUGUCUGUGCGUGCUGUGGAGCAGAGAGUUUGCAACAUGUAAGUGCCGUGCGUGAGGAAGAGUAAAAUUAACCUAUGGAGCCUGCUCAUUUUUAAUGUGGAGGGCAGUUCCGUUCCUUUCUUUCGCCGCUUCGAGGUCAUUUUAACACUCAAAUCUAACAUAUAAGAAAAAAAGCCAGGCAUAAUCAUGGCCUUUUAUUUCCCUCAUUAAGGAUUACAUCAGGUGACAUAAGCCAUUUUAACAUACAUCAUGAAGAAAGUGAUUAGUAAUUUAUAAAGGCACAUUAAAAUACCAUAUAAAUUACGGUUUUCUUGAUAGGAUCAUGAUGGUGACUUUAAGAAAGUGGUUGAAUGUGGAUGAAACAGUUUGCUGUGGAUUGUAGCACGUGUGGCAGGAUAUGUAGGCUUGUUGGUUGGUUGUUUUGAGACGGAGUCUCCCUCUUGUCGCCGAGGCUGGAGUGCAGUGGUGCGAUCUCGGCUCACCUCAACCUCCUCCUUCCAGAUUCAAACGAUUCUCCUGCCUCAGCCUCCCGAGUAGCUGGGAUUACAGGCGCCCACAACCAUGCCCGGCUAAUUUUUAUAUUUUUAAUAGAGACCGGGUUUUGCUAUGUUGACCAGGCUGGUCUCAAACUCCUGACCUCAGGUGAUCCGCCCGUCUCGGCCUCCCAAAGUGCUGGGAUUACAGGUGUGAGCCACUGUGCCUGGCCAGUAUAUGUAGGCUUUCUGCAUUCUAUGCAGUUCAGUUCAUUCAUCCAACAAAUAUUUAAUGCCUGUUGUGUGUCAGACGUUAUCCUAAAGACUGAAGAUGCAAAAGGGAUUAAGACUCAAUUCCUUUGGCCAGGCACGGUGGUUUACGCCUGUAAUCCCAGCACUUUGGGAGGCCAUAGCGGGCGGAUCACCUGAGGUCAGGAGUUCCAGACCAGCCUGGCCAACAUGGUGAAACCCCGGCUCCACUAAAAAUACAAAAAGUUAGCCGGGUGAGGCGGUGGGCACCUGUAAUCCCAGCUGCUCAGGAGGCUCCCUGUUGCAGUGAGCCGAGAUCACACCACUGCCCUGCAGCCUGGGGAACAGAACGAGACACUGUCUCAGAAAAAUAACCAAACAAAAAAGACUCAUUUCCUUCUUGCAAAGCUCACAGGUUGGGUAGAAGAGAUAUGUAAACAAGUAAUUGCACUAGAUAUGACAAGUACAUCUUUUUGAACAUACAUAGAUUUAAGUUAUCUAAUACAGUUUGCUUUGUAAUAAAAACCACUUAUCUUAGUCCCUUCAUUUUGAAUUCAACAUUUUUCUAUUUAGUAUUCACCUCACAUUCUUUUUUAGUAUUUUGGUAGAAUCAGACUCUUCAAAACGGUUAAUAGGAUUUCAGAAAUUAAGUCAAUUUUCAGUGCCAGCUAGAAUGGACCUUUGGAUUUAGGACAGAGGUUCUCCAAAUGUGAGCUGGGGACUGUAGACAAUCUCCGAGGUUCUUUCUGGGAUCCAUGAGGUCAAAAAGUUUUCAUGUGUUACUUGCUUUUUUCACUCUUGUUCUCUCAGAAGUGUACAAUGAAGUUUUGUGGAGACUAUAAUGUGCUAUCAAAGCAAAUAGAAUUAAGCUGUUUUUUAAGUCAGAUAUUAGAGAUUUACAAAAAUGUAAAACAAUGCCAAUCUUAUCUUUUGUUUUUAAAAUAUAGUAAUUUUUCAUUAAAAUAUGAUAUUUAUGUUAACAUGUAAUGGGCUUAUUGUCAAUUUUAAGGAAUUAAUCUUUUAUAUAUAAUUUAUCAGUUUUCAUUUCUAAUAUGGUAAAUACCAAUAGUUACAAUCCACAUGAAAAAAACUUCUUUGAGUCUUCAAUUUUUAAACAUGCCAAGGGGUCUUGAUACUACAAACUUUGAGAACUGCCAAGGUAGGCUAGUUAUUUUCAAAUUAUGUUUCAUGGAGCCCUGAAUCCUCUGGUAGUGUGUCAGAAAUCUGUGAGGAUAGAGAAUCAGUAGGAAGUUAAAGACAAGGCUCUGGGUUCCCACAUCUCCCCGUCUUCUCUAAUGGCAGUUCAAUUUUUCUCUGUUUAUCUGGUUUUUUGUUUUUUGCUUUUUGUUUUUUUUUUCUUGAGACGGAGUCUCGCUCUGUCAUCCAGGCUGGAAUGCAGUGGUGCAAUCUUAGCUCACUGCAACCUCCACCUCCCAGGUUCAAAAGAUUCUCCUGCUUAGGCCUCCCAAAUAGCUGGGACUACAGGUGCGCACCACCACAUCACGCUAAUUUUUGUGUUUUUAGUAGAGACAGGGUUUUGCCAUGUUGGCCGGGCUGGUCUCAAACUCCUGACUUCAGGUGAUCCACCUGCCUUGGCUUCCCAAAGUGCUGGGAUUACAGGCAUGAGCCAUCAUGCCUGGCCUGUUUAUCUGCUUUUUGUAUCAAUUAGGUGGAGACUCUCAAACUUCAAUUCUUGACUACUGUGUACCUACAGGCUCAACACCAAGUGGAAGCUGCCAAGGCUUGGGGCUUCCACCCUCUGAAGCAAUAGCCCAAGCUAUGCCUCAGCCCCUUUUAGUUACAGCUGGGGCAGCUGGGACACAAGGCACCAAGUUCCUAGACUGCACACAGCAGAGGGAUCCUGGGCCCGGCCCACAAAACCAUUUUUUCUUCCUAAACCUCCAGGCCUGUGAUGGGAGGAGCUGCCAUGAAGAUCUCUGACAUGCCCGUUUUCCCCAUUGUCUUGGUGAUUAACAUUCGGAUCUUCCUUACUUAUGCAAAUUUCUACAGCUAGCUUGAAUUUCUCCUCAGAAAAUGAGAUUUUCUUUUCUGUCAUGUUGUCAGGCUGCAAAUUUUCCAAACUUUUAUGUUCUGUUUCCCUUAAAAACUGAAUGCCUUUAACAGCACCCAAGUCACCUCUUGAAUGCUUUGCUGCUUAGAAAUUUCUUCUGUCAGAUACCCUAAAUCAUCUCUCUCCAGUUCAAAGUUUCACAAAUCUCUAUGGCAGGGGCAAAGUGCCGCCAGCCUCUUUGCUAAAACAUAACAAAAGUCACCUUUGCUCCAGUUCCCAACAAGUUCCUCAUCUCCAUCUGAGACCACCUGAUUGGAUUUCAUUGUCCAUAUAAUUAUCAGCAUUUUUGUCAAAGCCAUUUAACAAGCCUCUAGGGAGUUCUAAACUUUCCUGCAUUUUCCUGUCUUCUUCUGAGCCCUCCAGACUGUUCCAACAUCUGGCUGUUAACCCAGUUCCAAAGUUGCUUCCAUAUUUUUGGAUAUCUUUUUAGCAGUGCCUCACUCUACUGGUACCAAUUUACUGUGUUAGUUCUUUUUCAUGCUGCUGAUAAAGACAUACCCAAGACUAGGAAAUUUACAAAAGAAAGAGGUUUAUUGGACUUACAGUUCCACAUGGCUGGGGAAGCCUCAUAAUCAUGGUGGAAGGUGAAAGUCAUGUCUCACAUGGCAGCAGACAAGAGAAGAGAGAACUUGUGCAGGGAAACUCUCAUUUUUAAAACCAUCAGAUCUCAUGAGACUUAUUCACUAUCACAAGAACAGCACGGGAAAGACCUGCCCCCAUGAUUCAAUUAUCAUCUGCCGGGUCCCUCUCACAACAUGUAGGAAUUAUGGGACCUACAAGAUGAGAUUUGGGUGGGGACACAGAGCCAGUCAUAGUAAGGUAUUGUUUGGGUAAAACAUAAGCCUUUCUUUCCUUUCUUUUUUUUUUUUUUACAGGGUCUCACUUUGUCACCCAGGCUGGAAUGCAUUGGCAUGAACACGUCUCACUGCAGCCUCAACCUCCCAGGCUGAAGUGACCCUCCAACUCUGCUUUCACAGUAGCUGUGAUAUGGUUUGGCUGUGUCCCCACCCACAUCUCAUCUUAAAACCCAGUGGGAGGUAAUUGAAUCAUGGGGGCAAGUCUUUCCUGUGCUGUUCUUGUGAUAGUGAAUAAGUCUCAUGAGAUCUGAUGGUUUUUAAAAGAGUUCUGGCUGGGCAUGGUGGUGGGCACCUGUAAUCCAAACUACUAGGGAGGCUGAGGCAGAGUGAAUUGCUUGAACCUGGGAGAAGGAGGUUGCAGUGAGCCGAGAUUGCACCGCUGCACUCCAGCCUGGGCAAAAUUGAAGACUCUGUCUCCAAAAAAAAAAAAAAGGAGUUCCUCUGCAUAAGCUCUCUCUCUUUGCCUGCUGCCAUCCAUGUAAGAUGUGACUUGCUCUUCCUUGCCCUAUGAUUGUGAGUCUUUCCCCAGCCACGUGGAACUGUAAGUCCAAAUAAACCUCUUUCUUUUGUAAAUUGCCCAGUCUUGGGUAUGUCUAUCAGCAGCAUGGAAAUGGACUAAUACAGUAAAUUGGUACCAGUAGAGUGGGGUGUUGCUGAAAAGAUACCUGAAAAUGUGAAAGUGACUUUGGAACUGGGUAGCAGGCAAACAUUGGAACAGUUUGGAGGGCUCAGAAGAAGACAGGAAAAUGUAGGAAAGUUUGGAACUUCCUAGAGACUUGUUGAAUGGCAUUGACAAAAAUGCUAAUAGUGAUACGAACAAUAAGAUCCAGUCUGAGGUGGUCUCAGAUGGAGAUGAGGAACUUGUUGGGAACUGGAGCAAAGGUGACUCUUGUUAUGUUUUAGCAAAGAGACUGGUGACAUUUUGCCCCUGCCCGAGAGAUUUGUGGAACUUUGAACUUGAGGGAGAUGAUUUAGGGUAUCUGGUGGAAGACAUUUCUUUUUUUUUUUUUGUGACGGAGUCUUGCAUUGUCGCCUGGGGUGGAGUGCAAUGGUCUGAUCUCAGCUUACUGGGUUCAAGCAAUUCUGUCUCAGCCUCCCGAGUAGCUGGGAUUACAGGCGUCCGCCACCACGCCCUUCUAAUUUUUUGUAUUUUUAGUAGAGACGGUUUCACUAUGUUGGCCAGUGGAAGACAUUUCUAAGCAGCAAAGCAUUCAAGAGGUGGCUUGGGUGUUGUUAAAGGCAUUCUGUUUUGACUGGGUGCGGUGGUGCACACCUAUAAUCCCAGCACUUUGGGAGGCCGAGGAGGGUGGAUCAAGAGGUCAGGAGUUCAAGACCAGCCUGGCCAAUAUGGUGAAACCCUGUCUCUACUGGAAAUACAAAAAUUAGCUUGGCAUGGUGGUGUGCGCCUGUAGUCCCAGCUUCUCGGGAGGCUGAGGCAGGAGAAUCGCCUGGACCCGGGAGGUGGAGGUUCCAUUGAGCCAAGAUCAUGCCACUGACUCCAGCCUGGGCAACAGACUGAGACUCUGUCUCAAAAAAAAAGAAAAAAAAAAAGGCAUUCAGUUUUAUAAGGGAAGCAGAGCAUAAAAGUUUGGGAAAUUUGCAGCCUGACAAUGUGAUAGUAAAGAAAAUCCCAUUUUCUGAGAGGAAAUUCAAGCUGGCUGCAAAAAUUUGCAUAAGUACCAAGGAGCCGAAUGUUAAUAUCCAAGACAAUGGGGAAAAUAUCUCCCAGACAUGUCAGAGGUCUUCAUGGCAGCCCCUCCCAUCAACAGGUCCAGAGGCCUAGGAGGAAAAAGUGGUUUUGUGGGCAGCACCCAGGGUCCCCAUGCUAUGUGCAGCCUAGGGACUUGGUGCCGUGCGUCUCAGCUCCUCCAGUGGUGACUGAAAGGGGCCAACAUAGAGCUCGGGCUGCUGCUUCAUGGGGUGGAAGUCCCAAAUCUUGGCAGCUUCCAUGUGGUGUUGAGCCUGCGAGUACAUAGAAGUCAAGAAUUGGGGUUUGGGAACCUCCAUCUAGAUUUCAGAAGAUAUAUGGAAAUUCCUGGAUGCCCAGGCAGAAGUUUGCUGUAGGGGUGGGGCCUUCAUGGAGAACCUCUGCUAGAGCAGUGCAGAAGGGAAAUGUGGGGUCGGAGCCCCCACACAGAGUCCCCGCUGCGGCCCUGCCUGAUGGAGCUGUGAGAAGUGGACCACCGUUCUCCAGACCCCAGAAUGGUAGAUCCACCGACAGCUUGCACCGUGUGCCUGGAAAAGCUGCAGACACUCAAUGCCAGCCUAUGAAAGCAGCCUGGAGGGAGGCUUUACCCUGCAAAGCCACAGAAGUGGAGCUGCCCAAGACCAUGGGAAUCCACCUCUUGCAUCAGUGUGACCUGGAUGUGAGACAUGGAGUCAAAGGAUAUCAUUUUGAAGCUUUAAGAUUUGACUGCCCUGCUGGAUUUCAGACUUGCAUGGGUCCUGUAGCCCCUUUGUUUUGGCCAAUUUCUCCCAUUUGGAAUGGCUAUAUUUACCCAAUGCUUAUACCACCAUUCUAUCUAGGAAGUAAAUAACUUGCUUUUGAUUUUACAGGCUCAUAGGCAGAAGGGAUUUGCCUUGUCUCAGAUGAGACUUUGGACUGCGGACUUUUGAGUUAAUGCUGAAAUGAGUUAAGACUUCGGAGGACUAUUGGGAAGGCAUGAUUGGUUUUGAAAUGUGAGGACAUGAGAUUUGGGAGGGGCCAGGGGUGGAAGGAUACGGUUGGGUUCUGUGUCCCCACCCAAGUCUUAUCUUGUAGCUCCCAUAACCCAUGUGUCUUGGGAGGGACCUGGUAAUUCAAUCAUGUGGGCUGGAUGCGGUUGCUCAUGCCUGUAAUCCCAGCACUUUGGGAGGCCAAGGGGGAGAUCACUUGCGAUCAGGAGUUUGAGACCAGCCUGGCCAACAUGGUGAAACCCCAUCUAUACUAAAAAUACAAAAAUUAGCCAGGCACGGUGGUGGGCACCUGUAAUCCCAGCUACUUGGGAGGCUGAGGCAUGAGAAUCACUUGAACCUGGAGGCGGAGGUUGCAGUGAGCCGAGAUCGCACCACUGCACUCCAGCCUGGGCGUCAAAGUGAAACUUAGUCUUAAAAAAAAAAAAAAAAAGAAGAAUGGGAGUGGGUCUUUCCUGUGCUGUCCUCAUGAUAGAGAAUAAGUCUUACAAGAUCUGAUGGUUUUAAAAAUGAGAGUUAUUUCUCUCUUCUCUUGUCUGCCACCAUGUGAGUCAUGCCUUUCACCUUCCACCAUGAUUGUGAGGCCUCCCCAGCCACGUGGAACUGUAAGUCCAAUAAACCUCUUUCUUUUUUUUUUUUUUUUUUUUUUUUUUUGAGACGGAGUCUCACUCUGUUGCCCAGGCUGGAGUGCAGUGGCGCGAUCUCGGCUCACUGCAAGCUCCGCCUCCCAGGUUCACGCCAUUCUCCUGCCUCAGCCUCCCGUGUAGCAGGCAUUGUCACAGGCGCCUGCCACCACACCCACCUAAUUUUUUUGUAUUUUUAGUAGAGACGGGGUUUCACCGUGUUAGCCAGGGUGGUAUCGAUCUCCUGACCUUGUGAUCCGCCCACCUUGGGCUCCCAAAGUGUUGAGAUUACAGGCGUAAGCCACUGCACCCGGCAAUAAACCUCUUUCUUUUGUAAAUUGCCCAGGUAUGUCUUUAUCAGCAGCAUGAAAAUGGACUCAUACAAUGAUCCAUUACCUAGGGUAAAAUUCUCCUGAAUGUCAAACAGAGAUAAACUACAUUUGGGUUUUGGGUAAGUCCCCUGUAAUGAUGAAUCAAGAAUCCUCAAGUCUGUCUUGCCACCCAUUUAAUACGUAUUUUUGUUAAGGCUGAAGUUUAGAGUUAGAAUCAGGACAUUUUGGCCUAUUGAGAGGUUCUGAAUUCCAACAGAAGAUGCCAUGUAAAUCAGUGAAUUUGAUUCUUUUAAAAGCAACUUACAAAAUUUACAAGAUGUAUUCAAUAAAGCAGUUUAGCUUUGGUAUAU